rnacentral:rRNA from 1 species
AUUGAACGCUGGCGGCAGGCCUAACACAUGCAAGUCGAACGAGUGGCGGACGGGUGAGUAAUGUCUGGGAAACUGCCUGAUGGAGGGGGAUAACUACUGGAAACGGUAGCUAAUACCGCAUACCAUCGGAUGUGCCCAGAUGGGAUUAGCUAGUAGGUGGGGGAAAGGCUCACCUAGGCGUGGAUCCCUAGCUGGCCGGAGAGGAUGACCAGCCAAACUGGAACUGAGACACGGUCCAUACGCCUACGGGAGGCAGCAGUGGGGAAUCUUGCACAAUGGGCGCAAGCCUGAUGCAGCAAUGCCGCGUGUAUGAAGAAGGCCUUCGGGUUGUAAAGUACUUUCAGCGGGGAGGCGUUACCCGCAGAAGAAGCACCGGCUAACUCCGUGCCAGCCGCCGCGGUAAUAC